rnacentral:siRNA from 1 species
UUAAAUGUCAGUGGCAGCCACUGU